AGGUGAAAGGCCUGAGACGCAGAGGAAACCACUUCCGUUACACUGGAAAUUGUCCCAAGCAGCGGUAGGUAUGAAAGGGCAAACCUAGAGGAGUUGUCAUCAGAUCACGUAGGACUUUAAUCGUUGAACAAACGAACCUUUAAUAGCGGUUGCACCAUUUGGGUGUCCUGAUCCAACAUCGAGGUCGUAAACCCUAUUGUCGAUAGGAACUCUAGAAUAGGAUUGCGCUGUUAUCCCUAGGGUAACUUGUUCCGUUGAUCAAAAUUUUGGAUCAAUAAGUGAUGUUAUGGUUAUUUUGACUGGUUUGUCUAGAUUAAAAUCACUCGGAGGGUUUUUUGUACUCCGAGGUCACCCCAACCGAAAUUGCUAGUCCAUGUUAAGUUAUGUUUUAUCCCUUUGUGGUUGAAUUGUUUAACUUUUGGAAUAGUUAAUUAAAGCUCCAUAGGGUCUUCUCGUCUUAUUUUUUUAUUCCCGCCUCUUCACGGGAAGGUCAAUUUCACUGAUUGGAAGUAAGAGACAGUAAAACCCUCGUGUGGCCAUUCAUACAAGUCCUUAUUUGGAGAACAAGUGAUUAUGCUACCUUUGCACGGUCAGAAUACCGCGGCCGUUAAACUGGUGUCACUGGGCAGGCAUUGCCUCUAAUACUAGUAAUGCUAGAGGUGAUGUUUUUGGUAAACAGGCGGGGUUUGUGUUUGCCGAGUUCCUUUUACUUCUUUUAAUCUUUCCUUGGUGCACUCCUGUGUUGGCUUCUAUGUUUCAAU
rnacentral:lncRNA from 1 species